rnacentral:tRNA from 1 species
GGAUUGUGGCUCAGCGGUAGAGCACUUGUCUAGCAUGUGCAAGGUCCUGGGUUUGAUCCUCAGCACCA